CUCCUCGAUGGGACAACUGGGACUCUUCAGAGGCUGUCUUCAGCCUGAUGUCCCACUGGGACACGAAGAGAGCCUCCAGGGUAAUUACAAUCCUUGUGUUCCACCCCUUUUGUGUCCUGCUCACCACACCAAUCAGAUCGUGCAAUGACAUUAUGGCUCAUUACACCUGGACAGAAGCAUUUGCAGCUCAUGGACAGCCCCUCACUUUGUGUCAAAGAGCUGUGUCCAGGGACACUUACAUGUAGCGAGUCGUCAUGUAUUCUGUAGCUGCAUCCUCAUCACACCUACAGAAGAGCACUAAUGGAUAGCGAGAGGUUUAGAACUGGGAAAAAUAGAAGCAGAGAGAGGGAAUCAUCGGUGAAGCAGAAGUAGGAAGAGCGGCAGCAGAAAAACAUUGUGGUCAUCUGCAGUGCGAUGAG